AGCGCAGGCGGUUUCUUAAGUCUGAUGUGAAAGCCUUCGGCUCAACCGAAGAAGUGCAUCGGAAACUGGGAAACUUGAGUGCAGAAGAGGACAGUGGAACUCCAUGUGUAGCGGUGAAAUGCGUAGAUAUUCGGAGGAACACCAGUGGCGAAGGCGGCCUACUGGUCCAUUACUGACGCUGAGGUGCGAAAGCGGUGGGGAGCAAACA
rnacentral:rRNA from 1 species